GUGUCAGCCGCCGCGGUAAUACGGAGGGUGCAAGCGUUAUCCGGAUUCACUGGGUUUAAAGGGUGCGUAGGUGGGCAGGUAAGUCAGUGGUGAAAUCUCCGGGCUUAACUCGGAAACUGCCGUUGAUACUAUCUGUCUUGAAUAUCGUGGAGGUUAGCGGAAUAUGUCAUGUAGCGGUGAAAUGCUUAGAUAUGACAUAGAACACCCAUUGCGAAGGCAGCUAACUACACGAUCAUUGACACUGAGGCACGAAAGCGUGGGGAGCAAACAGGAUUAGAAACCCCCGUAGUCC
rnacentral:rRNA from 1 species